UACGGAGGGGGCUAGCGCUGUUCGGAAUUACUGGGCGUAAAGCGCUCGUAUGCGGACCUGCAAGUCGGGGGUGAAAGCCCGAGGCUCAACCUCGGAACUGCCUUCGCUACUGCGGGUCUCGAGUCCGAGAGAGGUGAGUGGAAUUCCUAGUGUAGAGGUGAAAUUCGGAGAUAUUAGCAAGAACACCAGUGGCGAAGGCGGCUCACUGGCUCGGUACUGACGCUGAGGCGCGAAAGCGUCGGGAGCAAACAGG
rnacentral:rRNA from 1 species